AACUUUGAAUUGCUGUAGUUUUAAAACAUGUGACACACGUAGAAGUUCUGACUCUGUGUUCUUCAGGAGAACCCUUACCUGUGCAGUGACGAAUGUGAUGCAUCCAGCCCCGACCUGUCUCACCCUCCCCAGUUAAUGGGAGACAGGGAGAGAGGCGGCCUCCUCACCUACUGGCAGACAGUCACAUGGUCCAAGUAUCCUGAGCCUCUAUUGGCCAACAUCACUUUGUCCUGGAACAAGAGUCUGGAAGUUGUUGAUGACAUCACUAUCACCUUUGAGUAUGGUCGACCGACCAGCAUGGUGCUGGAGAAGUCCAUGGACAAAGGUAAUGGACCUAGAGGUUUUCUGCAGUAGUGCGCCACGGUGUGUCUCUCUCUUCUCCAUCAUCUCUCCUUUUUAAGUUUAACAUCUUUUGGUGACCAGGAGUACACACUAUCAGACCUGUUUCAGCUGGUUUUGGUACCAGGACCGGGAUCACACUCUUUGGUUUUUAAAGGUGUGUUUUUUUCUCAUUUUUAUUCCAGGUGUUACUUGGCAGCCUUAUCAAUAUUACGCUGACGACUGUCUGGAGACAUUUGGCAUGUCCCCUAAACGAGUCGCUGACUUAGCACCGAGUAACAUAACCAGAGUAAUCUGCACUGAACAGUACUCCCGCUGGGUCGGAGCCAAGGUGGGCUGCUGAAACUAUGACUGGUCAACGAUGAUUAACAAAUGACUGACGGCUGUGGUUUGAUUGACAGGAGGAGAAGGUUGUGAUGUUUGAGGUGCGAGCUCGGUUCAGCGUGUUUGCAGGUCCGAAGUUGAUCAACAUGGAUGCUCUUUACACACGUAUGGAAACCAUGAAGGGCCUAAAGGACUUCUUUACCUUCACCAACCUAAGGCUAAGGCUUCUACAGCCAGCAUUGGGAGGAACCUAUGUUCAGAGAGACAACCUGCUGAAGUACUUCUACGCCAUCUCCAACAUCGAUGUACCAGCCAGGUGCAAGUGCAACCUGCAUGCAUCGCAGUGUGUGAUACGAGACGCGACGCUCCAGUGUGAAUGUGAGCACAACACCGCCGGACAGGACUGUCAACGCUGCAACAAAGGAUUCAGGUCCCUCAGCUGGAGACCUGCGUCCUACCUACCCCUGCCCAAAGGCACUGCCAAUAUCUGUGAAGCAGAAGAAACAGAAGCAAACUGCGACUGUAACGGUCACUCCAAUCGCUGCAGCUACAUCGACUUCAUCAACGUGAUCACGUGUGUGAGCUGCAAACACAACACACGAGGACAGAACUGUCAGUACUGUCGUCUCGGUUACUAUAGGAACCCUUCGCUGUCACUAGAUGAUGAGAAUGUCUGCGUAGGUCAGUGGCACAUACACACACAAACACUAGCACAUAAGGCAGUGUGUCCUCAAACACAACAGUAAUAAUCACACUGAAAUGUCUCCGCCUGUGCCAGAGUGCGGCUGUGACACUGAGGGCAGUCUUUCCCCUCACUGCUCUGAAACUGGUCCCUGUCAGUGCAAAGUCGGAGUCACAGGGAGGCGCUGUGACUCAUGUUUACCUGGGUAUACCUGGAGAGGAGGCGGAGCCAGCUGUACAGUGAACAUAUGCGAUGAAGAGGCUUUGAUUUGUAAAAAUGGUGGAACCUGCGUAGAUUUUCAGCGCUGCAUCUGUCCCAGUAACUUCACAGGUCCACUCUGUGAACAGGUUGUUUGCCUUAAGAAGCACGGUUGUGUCGACAACGCUGCAGAUUCCUACGAACGCACGUCCUGUUUUUACCUGCUGACUUUGGGUCUAAUGACCUUCACCUACUGUUGAACCAGCACAUUAAUCUGGAGUCACACUGAUUCUACAAUGGGUCACCCGAUAAAAUAAAAAAAAGCCAAAAACUUUUGUUUUGUAAACUAUAAACUUUUUUUAUAUAAAAUAAUUGGCCUGGAACAGAGAGCCAGGGUCUUCUGAUAUCACAGUCAUGUUUACUUCUGUAUGAGCCUGACUUGUAAACUUUGGUACUGAUAGUAUGUGUUGUUCUUCUAGUUAACUGUUGUUAAUAACAUUGACAGACUGAAUUGACUGUAUGAAAUGUUUAUUUAAACUGGUCAACAUCGAACUGAAUGUGUAAAUAAAGAGCUAAAAGAUGUAUUAAAUUAAUUAAACGCUGCGUUCGGGUUAUUAGUUAUUAAUUCACGUUUCACAUGUGUAAAAACUAUUUUAAAGAGUAGAGCUGUGCAUUUCAUGUUCAACUAUAGUUUUCGGAAGUAAAAUAAAUAUUCUAAAUAUAACAGCGUGGUCGCUGAGGUUUUUUUCUAAAUGACUGUUUGUCAAUUUCGAACGCUAAGGUUGUAUUUGAACGUA